UUUUUUUUUAAAAACGUAUUUCAUUUCUUAUAUCUCUUUCUUUUUCCGAUAGCCACACAAUUCUUCCUGUAGAAGCAUCAAUGGCUUCCUCUUGGCCAUCUGGUGUGUCAAAUUCUCAAACGAUGACACCUUCUUGGCCUCCGCCUCUCUCGACAAGACCAUUACUAUUUGGUCCUCCUCAUCUCUCUCCCUCACCCACCGCCUCGUCGGCCAUUCUGAGGGCAUCUCCGACCUUGCCGGGUCCUCCGACUCCCACUACAUCUGUUCUGCUUUUGAUGAUCGCUCUCCACAUCUGGGACGCAUGCUCAGCCAUAGGUGAAUGCGUCAAAACCCUUCGUGGCCACUUCAACCUAGUUUUUUGCGUUAACUUCAACCCCUAGUCUAACCUCAUCGUCUUUGGCUCCUUCGACGACACGAUUAGGAUAUGGGAAGUCAAAACCAGCAAGUGCCUUCACUCAAUUAAGGCUCACUCUAUGCAUGUUACCUCCGUACACUUUAAUCGCGAUGGUUUGCUUGUUUGGUAGUCAUGAUGGGUCUUGCAAGAUUUGGGACUUCGCUGUUGGUGCUUGCUUGAAGACCCUUAUUGGCGAUAAGGCCUUUGAUGUGUCUUUCACUAAGUUUCCCCCCAAUGGCAAGUUCAUACUCGUUGCCACUCUCAAUGACCCACUGUCAUGGAUGACACACAGCGUAUGAUGCAGAUGGGAGGAUUCGGCUUUGAUCCAACAAAGGUUAGUGUUCCACCAUCAAGGAACAUAAGCAGAGAAAUGGUUACUUGACUUAUUGAGGAAGCUUGUAAAAUCACAUUUACUCAUAUUUCAACAAAAACAAAGAUGCAAGCUAUUUCUGAGGAGAUUUCAACUGAAGAAAAAUUGGUUAAUUACAAAACAAAAUUUCUAAUAAAUGGCCCGAAUACAAGCGGAUUUACAACAACCACUAUAUAGCCAGAAUAAACCCAGAAGAAAAACUGGUAGGAGCUAUGAACUAGGCUCAUGGAAAUUGGGAAAGCAAGUAAGAAUUUAGCAACAAGAUAUUAAGUUAUUUUCACCCUCAUCAUCAAAUAAUAAUAUCAAGAUUGCCAAACAGAUGCAUACAACAAUAUCCUCUCCUGGACAUGGAAAUCAGAUAUCAAUAGCAGAUAGUAAUACUGAGGAAUAUAGACUCAUUGCCUGAUAUGAAACAAGAGAUUUAUUUUCAAUUUUUCAUUGAUAUAUAAUGUAUGGUCGAUGUUACAUGUAUAUAUCCAUGUAUAUUAUAUAGAUCAAAUGGUACCUAAAAAAAAAAUCAGGUGCUCCGUUUAUACAAUUGUUUCAGUUCUUAAUUUGUUUGGUUACUGCCCACUCUUGUUAUUAUACGUUAGGUACUUCAUUUAUUCUUUACUUAUUCUGUUCUUUUUUUUUCUUUUGGAUUAGUAUUAGUUUUGGAUUUGGAGUAUAACAUUUUUCAAAUAU